GCUCAGAGUGAACGCUGGCGGUAGGCCUAACACAUGCAAGUCGAACGGCAGCACAGUAAGAGCUUGCUCUUAUGGGUGGCGAGUGGCGGACGGGUGAGGAAUACAUCGGAAUCUACCUUUUCGUGGGGGAUAACGUAGGGAAACUUACGCUAAUACCGCAUACGACCUUCGGGUGAAAGCAGGGGACCUUCGGGCCUUGCGCGGAUAGAUGAGCCGAUGUCGGAUUAGCUAGUUGGCGGGGUAAAGGCCCACCAAGGCGACGAUCCGUAGCUGGUCUGAGAGGAUGAUCAGCCACACUGGAACUGAGACACGGUCCAGACUCCUACGGGAGGCAGCAGUGGGGAAUAUUGGACAAUGGGCGCAAGCCUGAUCCAGCCAUACCGCGUGGGUGAAGAAGGCCUUCGGGUUGUAAAGCCCUUUUGUUGGGAAAGAAAAGCAGUCGAUUAAUACUCGGUUGUUCUGACGGUACCCAAAGAAUAAGCACCGGCUAACUUCGUGCCAGCAGCCGCGGUAAUACGAAGGGUGCAAGCGUUACUCGGAAUUACUGGGCGUAAAGCGUGCGUAGGUGGUUGUUUAAGUCUGUUGUGAAAGCCCUGGGCUCAACCUGGGAAUUGCAGUGGAUACUGGACGACUAGAGUGUGGUAGAGGGUAGUGGAAUUCCCGGUGUAGCAGUGAAAUGCGUAGAGAUCGGGAGGAACAUCCAUGGCGAAGGCAGCUA
rnacentral:rRNA from 1 species